rnacentral:rRNA from 1 species
GACGAACGCUGGCGGCGUGCUUAACGCAUGCAAGUCGAACGGAAAGGCCCAGCUUGCUGGGUGCUCGAGUGGCGAACGGGUGAGUAACACGUGGGUGAUCUGCCUCUAACUUCGGGAUAAGCUUGGGAAACUGGGUCUAAUACCGGAUAGGACAAUCGUUUAGUGUCGGUUGUGGAAAGUUUUUUCGGUUAGGGAUGAGCCCGCGGCCUAUCAGCUUGUUGGUGGGGUAAUGGCCUACCAAGGCGUCGACGGGUAGCCGGCCUGAGAGGGUGGACGGCCACAUUGGGACUGAGAUACGGCCCAGACUCCUACGGGAGGCAGCAGUGGGGAAUAUUGCACAAUGGGCGCAAGCCUGAUGCAGCGACGCCGCGUGGGGGAUGACGGCCUUCGGGUUGUAAACCUCUUUCGACAGGGACGAAGCUUUGGUGACGGUACCUGUAUAAGAAGCACCGGCUAACUACGUG